rnacentral:rRNA from 1 species
GACGUAGGGGGCCAGCGUUGUUCGGAUUUACUGGGCGUAAAGGGCGCGUAGGCGGCAAUUCAAGUCAUCUGUGAAAUCUCCGGGCUUAACCCGGAACGGUCAGAUGAUACUGCGGGGCUAGAGUGCAGAAGGGGCAACUGGAAUUCUCGGUGUAGCGGUGAAAUGCGUAGAUAUCGAGAGGAACACCUGCGGCGAAGGCGGGUUGCUGGGCUGACACUGACGCUGAAGCGCGAAAGCUAGGGGAGCGAACGGG